rnacentral:snoRNA from 1 species
CCAACAUGGAUAACCUAGGAAGUCACUCUCCCCAGACUCUGUCCAAGUGGCCUAUGGGAGCAUAAGGCUCAGCCCCAUGAUGUACAGUCCCUUUCCACAACGGUGGAGAAGAAGAUGGGCCUUGAGUCUUAGCUUGCAUGUUCCUACAACUUCUCAGAGUCCUGUAGACAGUGACAUUGUUUCCAGGCAGGAAACAAUG